rnacentral:rRNA from 1 species
GACGAACGCUGGCGGCGUGCUUAACACAUGCAAGUCGAACGGAAAGGCCCUGCUUUUGUGGGGUUCUCGAGUGGCGAACGGGUGAGUAACACGUGAGUAACCUGCCCCUUACUUUGGGAUAACUUCAGGAAACUGGGGCAAAUACCGGCUCGUAGCUUCUCCUGCAUGGUGGGGGUGGGAAAGUUUCGGCGGGUGGUGAUGGACUCCCGGCUUAUCAGCUUGUUGGGGGGGUAGUGGCUUACCAAGGCUUUGACGGGUCUCCGGCCUGAGAGGGUGACCGGCGACAUUGGGACUGAGAUACGGCCCAGACUCCUACGGGAGGCAGCAGUGGGGAAUAUUGCGCAAUGGGCGGAAGCCUGAUGCAGCAACGCCGCGUGCGGGAUGACGGCCUUCGGGGUGUAAACCGCUUACGCCUGUGACGAAGCGUGAGUGACGGUAAUGGGUAAAGAAGCACCGGCUAACUACGUG